AGAUGACAACCUUAAGAUAUUUACAUAAUUAUUGGCCAAACCAUUUCAUAGAUAGAAAGGAAACUUUAUUAUUUUGUACUUUCAAGAUAGUCGAAUAUAACGCCAUGUUAAGAAAAUUAUAUGCCAAAUGCUUAUGGAAGGGAAAAAUAUAUUCAGACAUGUCUUAAAAAUUCAUCUUACUCCCAGAUCGGAGUAAGAUGACGAACCUGUUGUCUUUAGCAGUAAUCACAAAUAAACGCACUGCAUCCUUCACAAUUGGAGCAAUCUUCGAUCCACCAUUCUUUACAUUGGAAAGGACACAUUUCUCAUUCUCAUUAAGAACACAUUAGGCUAUAUGUUAUUGAGAAUAUCUGCAUUGAUAAGAACAAUCCAAUCUUCAGUAGCAAUCGUCCUUCUCAAUCAAUCUUCAGCAGCCUUCUUUGUUUCCUGGUUAAAUAUAUAUCUAUGUUAUGUAUAUUAUGAUGUAAAGAAAAAAAUCUGGAACUAUCCGCGUCACUUUUUCACAUAUUCGUCAUCAUACCUUUAUUAUCUGGCCACUUUUAUGAACCCUAUUUUUAAGCUGUCAUCUUCCAUCGCUCUCUUUCAUCUGGUACUUACUGGUUAGGCAUAGCAGCUUACAGCAUAUGAUGCAUAAAUCACCAUCAAUGAACAGUUUCCGAAUUAUAUCAAAUUCAUCGUCUUACCCUGGUCUUCCCUACUUAAAUAUAUUCAAUAAUUCUCUGCAGCAUGUAUCAUGAAAAUUUCUUAGUAAUCCACAUAUCGAAUGCAGAUAUGUUUUUAAAUAAAUUUUAACCUUCU
rnacentral:lncRNA from 1 species